UAAUUGCUGCUGGCUAGUCUGAAGGAGCUGAGUGAGGGAGCCGAGGGGAAGGGCUGCUCUGUGAGGCAGGAUUUCGUAGAAGCUUCAUCAAUCAAAGCAGAAACCCAACGAUCGUAUUCUCUUUUACUCUGUCAAAAUUGAGUAUAAUUCUCUGUAUAAUGUCCAUUUUGACCAUUUGUCUUGGUGUUUGUCUUCUUGUUGCUUUAGGCGAUGUGCCAUCUCUUCCAUAAUUUGAAUUUCUCCUGCAGUCUGUAUCAACUGGUCAAUAGUAGGGGGGUCUUCUUCCCACAUUUCCUUGUUUUUACCUUUUUAGUGACUACUGUAAUAUUUUAACCAAAUAUGUGUCCAUUUUAUGUCUUAUGCAACACAGGUGUUGUGUUGUACAAGUCAUAGGAAUGUUUAGCCAGUCUUCAUCUGUUAUUUUAUGUUAAGUCAUUGUCUUGUUACUGCAAAGUAAAACAGAGAAGCUACGAUGUUUUGUUUUACUUCUAUUUUUUUUUCUCCAAAUUGAUGUUGCUACCAAGCGUUUUUCCUGCAGAGUCAUUUUCAGUUGUUUUUAUGACUAAAAUUUACUUUGACACCCCCUCUAAUGCCUUCAUAGGUCAUCUAAUCAGUCACCUUACUCCAUGCGUCAUUUGAUCUCAGUAUGAAUCCAGGUGUUCUGCGAAGGUCCCAGAGGUUUAUCAGAGGUUUUGAGAAAUUUGAACAUCUGGUCAAGACUGAGACAGCAGCUUCCAUUACAAAUGUGCUCCAAUCUUUGUCUAUAUUCCGCUAAUGUCGAAAAAUCUCAAUUUUGCAAUUACAAUGUUCCCACUAAAUAAGAUACAUAAUCAAAAUCACACAGGAAUACACUUAACCCUAUGUAUUUGUACAGUUUUAUCUGGUUUGAAAUGAUGACAUUUUUACCUAUGACGUGUUAUUUGCAGAGAUACUUUGACGUAGUAUGUAUCAUUACAUUUUCUAUCACAUCUAAAGCUUUCAGGUCUGGAGAGAACAUGGCGUCCUGUCUGGUCUGUGAAUAACUGCUUUUCAAAUGUCACCUGGUAAGGAAAAGGUUAAACAAAUAAAGAAGUAACUAAAUGAAAAUGUUUGAUCCAGCACAGAGUCCAGUGGAUUUUGAAUAAAUGAUUGAAUUGGUCGUC